CAGAGGGUGCGAGCGUUAAUCGGAAUUACUGGGCGUAAAGCGCGCGUAGGCGGCUUUGCAAGUCGGGUGUGAAAUCCCCAGGCUUAACCUGGGAACUGCAUUCGAGACUGCGUUGCUAGAGUAUGGGAGAGGGAAGUGGAAUUUCCGGUGUAGCGGUGAAAUGCGUAGAUAUCGGAAGGAACAUCAGUGGCGAAAGCGACUUCCUGGACCAAUACUGACGCUCAUGUGCGAAAGCGUGGGGAGCAAACAGGAUUAGAUACCCUGGUAGUCCACGCCAUAAACGAUGAGAACUGGAUGUCGGGAGGGUCUGCCUCUCGGUGCCGUAGCUAACGCGUUAAGUUCUCCGCCUGGGGAGUACGGCCGCAAGGUUG
rnacentral:rRNA from 1 species